rnacentral:lncRNA from 1 species
UCGAAUAAGACAUGAUGCUUCAUCUGGUGUACUCAGUUGUUGCACCCACAUAAGCGGCCAUUUGGGUUCCUUAAGAGGAGGUUUGAUAAAUUGCCCAAUUAACCUCUUAAAUGGUCAGGAUAGCCUAGUCAAACAUCACUAAAUAAGAACCCUUACCACUGAAUCAGUAGCCACUAAAGCAUCAAGGAACAACUUAAGUGGUACAUAUGUAGUCGACCAAAUGUCGCUAAAG